ACUACUCAACAGACUCCAAAUCGGCUGCCCGGAUCAUUACCCGCACCAAAUCGUCUGACCGCAUCACCGCCACCCUCAUCCAACUUCACUGGCUUCCUGUUCAGCACCGGAUUGAUUACAAAAACCUUCUGCUGACAUACAAAGCCCUCAACAAGUUCUCCCCUGCUGAACUGUGCUCCCUGGUUCACCGCAGACCUUCGACAACUAAAAACCACUGGUCGGCGACUCGAGUGGCUGUGCAAAAAGACUGGACUCUCAGUGCACAUCCAACUUUACACUGAACACCUACACCUCUACAAGAACGCUCUCUCCACCGCAAAAUACUCCUACUACUCCUCUUCUCAACAGUCAGCCACUUACUUCAGCCUGCUACAACUCUCCCUCCAGAUGUCUCCACCGACCACUGCAAUGACUUCCUGCAAUUCUUUGACGCCAAAAUCAACACCAUCCAUCAUCAGCUGGCCUCAUCCUGUACUUCCCCAAGUGAUCCACCCUGGAUGGCUACCACCAGCCAACCAUUCACCAGCACCCUCUCCAACUUCUCACUAGCAACAGAAUCGACCAUCUCCAAGCUCAUCCUUAAAUCUACCUGUCAGCUCGACCUCCUCCCCACUAUCCUCAUCAAAGCCUGCCUUCCAUCUCCCCCAUGAUCACAAGAAUAAUUAACUCCUCCCUCACCACUGGCUCUGUACCCCCUCCCUCAAAACAGCUGCAAUUACGCCCAUUCUCAAAAAGCCUGGUGCUGACCCAGCUGACCUAAACCAUUCGACUUCAAAUCAUCCGCUGCCCGGAUCACGACCUGCACCAAAUCCUCUGAACACAUCACCCCCAUUCUCCAUAUCUCUGGAAUACACCCCCUCCCGCUCCCUGCGC